rnacentral:rRNA from 1 species
GGAACAUUAUUGACGCUGAGACGCGAAAAGCGUGGGGAGCAACCAGGAUUAGAUNCCCUGGUAGUCCACGCCCUAAANCGAUGUACACUAGUUGUUGUGAGGCUCGACCNUGCAGUAAUGCAGUUANCACAUUAAGUGUACCGCCUGGGGAGUACGGUCGCAAGAUUAAAACUCAAAGGAAUAGACGGGGACCCGCACAAGCGGUGGAGCAUGUGGUUUAAUUCGACGAUACACGAAGAACCUUACCUGGACUUGACAUAGUAAGAACUUUCUAGAGAUAGAUUGGUGUCUGCUUGCAGAAACUUAUAUACAGGUGCUGCACGGCUGUCGUCAGCUCGUGUCGUGAGAUGUUGGGUUAAGUCCCGCAACGAGCGCAACCCUCGUCAUUAGUUGCUAACAGUUCGGCUGAGAACUCUAAUGAGACUGCCUACGCAAGUAGGAGGAAGGUGAGGACGACGUCAAGUCAUCAUGGCCCUUACGUCCAGGGCUACACACGUGCUACAAUGGGGUAUACAAAGAGCAGCAAUACGGUGACGUGGAGCAAAUCUCAAAAAUAUCUCCCAGUUCGGAUUGUAGUCUGCAACUCGACUACAUGAAGUUGGAAUCGCUAGUAAUCGUAGAUCAGCUAUGCUACGGUGAAUACGUUCCCGGGUCUUGUACUCACCGCCCGUCACACCAUGGGAGUUGAACUCAUUCGAAGCGGGGAUGCUAAAGUAGCUACCUUCCACAGUGGAUUCAGCGACUGGGGUGAAGUCGUAACAAGGUAACC